rnacentral:lncRNA from 1 species
AAUGUGGACCAGCACUUCAGCUGAGUUCUCCUGCUGCUACCACAGCCACAACCAGGGCCGCCUGUCUGAGCCUACGUCACUCAAUGGUUGUAGCAAACAUACUGUUUUCCCAACUUUGACAGUUUACAGUCCUCUCACUUGCUGCCUCUUCUUAUCAGCUAAACUUAAUUCUCACAAUACAGCCCCGUCAACAUCAUGUAUGCACUGCCUCAUACCUGCUAUUACCCCUAGUUAAUUGAAAUGACAAUUACUAUCCAGUUAUAAAGGGCAAUGGGCAGACUGAAAAAUAUUCCUGGAGUUAAGCUUGUGAUAUUGAUAGAGGAAGAAUGGACAGAAAGCAUGGAAACUACACAGUGAAUGUUGAAUGCUCUGGAAAUCAGCUAAUAAAAGAAAAGUCUCUGUGCUCUCUGUGGAAGGUUUUCCUGGCUUGUCUUUUGGCAAGUAUGAUAACAACAGCAAUUGGAGUCCUUAUACUAUCCCUGGUAAACAAUAAAGGAAAUAAUUCCACCAUUGUUAUCCAGCCACCCACAAACAACGGAGGGCCUGCAACAGCCUCUACUAAUUCUCAGUCUACACUGACCACCACUUCAACUCAACCUGCAACAGCAACCACUUCAACAGGAUCUACAAGCACUGCAGUCUCCACUGGAACUACAACAGCAAUGGCCUCAACCAUCACUUUAGCUCCACCUGCAACCACAUCAGCUACAACAUCAGGUGAAAGCACAGUCACCACAGCUGCCACAGGAUCUACAACUACUGCAACAUCCAGUGGAACUACAGCUUCAACAACAUAACCUCUUACCACAACAGCCACAACUUUGAGUGAAGCCACAGCUGCUACCUCUGCCACAGGAUCCACAGCUGUUGCAGUUGGCUCUCAGUGUACAAUUAAAUCACUACAGCCAUCAUUCCAAUUGACUCUGCAAUCUCUAUCCCUCAAUUUAGUUUACAGCCAUAACAGCUAUUUUAUCACUUGAAGUUGAACCACAGCUACCACCUCUUUAACAGACUCUAACACUGUUGUAACUUCAGUGAGCCUAGCUGACAGCUGAAACAAUCACCAUUUGCACCAUCUUUUCAAUGGUACCCUCAACUAUGUUCACUUCAACUAAAUCUAUAACAAAUACUACUUCCAUCUGCCCUACAAAUACUGUGACUUCUCUUUUUUUGGUACUGGGGAUCGAACUCGGGACCUUGUGCUUGCAAGGCAGGUGGCGGAAUCACUGAGCUAAAUCCCUGGCCCAUGUGACUUCUACCUAACAGUGCUCACCCCUCUCCUUCAAUAACUUACAGUCUUCACCUAUUCAUUUCCACCUGCAAUCACAAAGUCUACCCUUAUCAUUUUUCCUUAACAGAACUAACCCCGAUCAUUGCAGUGAUCUCUUCUAUAUCAAAUUAACCAGUAGUUAAUUCACCACUGCAAAUAAACUGACAACUAUAAUCCACCUUGACUUUCCCCAAAACUAAAAUUAUAGCUACCACUGCUACAGUAACUGAAUGUAUAUUAUUGUCAUUACUUUUAUUUUCUUUUCAUCAUCAUUACUAUAUUGUACCUGC